rnacentral:misc_RNA from 1 species
GGCAAUGCCUUACUUCACUAACAAUGGUGUCCCUAAAUCCCAAAUUGAAGCCAUCCAAACUGUUCCACCCUUCCAGGUGACUGACCCACGAGAGGUUCGCCUGAUAUCGGUGGCGGAGACUAUUGGGUCAGGGAUUUUCACGGGUUGCCUUAACAUAGUCCUUUAUUAUAAUAAAGCUAUGGAGAAGGAUUCAGGCUGGCUUGUUGCUGGAUGGAUUAAGGAGUCACUAGGGAGGGCUUUGAGGGAGCAGCCAAUGCUCAGCGGACGUCUAGGGAGAGGUGAAAAUGGUCGUGGAGAGCUUGAGAUUGUGUCCAACGAUAGUGGGGUUAGACUUGUGGAGGCAAAGAUUAGUGUCACUUUGCGAGAGUUUCUUGAUUUGAAGGAAAAAGAAAAGGCAGAAGCUGAGCUCGUGUUUUGGAAGGAUAUUGAUGAACAAAAUCCUCAGUUCUCUCCGCUACUUUUUGUUCAGGUAACCAAUUUUCAAUGUGGUGGAUACUCAAUUGGGAUCAGCUGUAGCCUUCUUCUGGCAGAUCUUCUGAUUAUGGAUAACUUCCUUCUGAAAUGGGCAAAUAUUCAGAAAGACAUGCUUUCCAAAAAUGAUGAAGUCAAGCUGCCCUUAUUUUACCUUCCUAAUCUCAAAACAGCUAGUUUAGCUGCCAAUCGCACCUUUAGCCCUGCUUCAAUAGAAAGGUGUGGCCAAACUAUGAUCUUUAGGAUCACAGGGGAAAAUGUGGAUUUGAAGAAUGAAUCAAGCAAGAAACUUGCAUUGCUCUGCAUGGAAGAGGCAGAGCAAAAACUUGGCAAUAAAAUAAUUUCAUCUGAGUUCUCUUUUCUAAUGAAAGAAUCUCCUACGGUUAUGCAGGUAGAAAAUUUCAAGAAAAUUGAGCGUGUGAAUUCCCAUUUAAUGAGUGAUCAAGUGAUGAUAACUUCAUCAAGCUUGAAGGAUUAUUUAGAGAUUAAUGAGAUUGCUUUCACAGAAGGCAAUAAACCUGCUCAAGUUUCAUAUUGGGCUGGAGCGGUUAAUGAUGGACUUGCAGUAGCAAUUCCAUCUUCUAAUGAGGGUGUUUCUGAGCUCAACUUUAUAAUCACAUUCCCCAUUGAGAAGGGGAUUUAAGUGAGGUCAGGUUUAGCCAUUGUUCAUUUCUUAACUUUGAUUUGGAAAAUAUGUAUUUGGAUUAUUGCAUGGGCAAAAAGGAAAUAUGGGUAUGUACUUGAGAAAUCAAGGAUUUGCUUUUAUUUAAUCAAUCCUUUCUUGUCUUUCUUCAGAAAUUCAUUUACUUCAACACUUAGCUUGAUGCACAAAUUCUCGUGCUCAUA